CCCAAGUCAUCACCAUGAAAGCAUGAAACUUUAGUCACCUACCCAAGGGGAUUCAUGGACAUAUUUCAAGAAUUUUCUCCAAGGGACCGUGCUUAUAGACUACCUGGUCAGGGUAGGAAUGAAGCCAGGGAGCCAAAGGAAGGCUUCCAGCCAGGGAGAGCAAACUGAAGGAAACUGCCUCCAGUGCCAGUGCCAUUGGGUUAUAGCAGAAUAGCCUGUGCAGUUCGUGAGACUCCAUCGAGGGAUUAGAGCUCAGUGAUGAUCUUUCUGACACGUGGAUUUGGGGACUUGUCUGACCAUUUAAGUGUGCUGUUACAUCUGUGACUUUCCAGCAGUGUGCCUGUGACCAUGGAGACACCCUCAUGGAGCAUCAAUUGAGACAAGUACUACAGGAUCCACUCUGGGAGCUCCGGUCAGACUUGUAAAGGCACAUCCACAGCACAGAUGUGGAGUAUCCCUCCCAAGGGGUGCAGCUAAGCAGAUCAAGCCGCUGCCUACAGCUGGGUUUUCCAUCUAGUCACUGGGUCGCAACAAGCUAACUUCAGCUGCCACCACUCAGAGGCCAAUGAGGAGAGUCUAUAAAAUUCCCCUCAAGUUCUCUUUGUUAGUGAUCUAACACGCAGAAUUUUCAUCUUUCCUUCCUGACUGCCAGCCCUCCUGACCAAGAGUAAACCCAGGCCCACCACCUGAUGAUUCACUGGGAUUCACAGAGGUGGUUGCCACAAAGAGCCAACAACCUUCCAUAGACUUUAGUAUCAACCUUCUUCAUAGUUCCACUCCAGCAGCAGCUCGAAGUGGGUCUUCCAGAUCACCAGGCAGCUGUCCUCCAAGUGGUGAUGUGAGACCAAGCUCCUUCUACCUGAUGACUCCACCAUCUUCAACUCUGGCCCCCCGGGUCAUCCUGGAGCCCAAUAUCCACCAGCAGAGCAAGAGGAGAGGACAUAGAAGUGUGCAAGGAGGUUUUUAUGGGCCAGGCCUGAAGCUGCAUACAUUACUUCUACACCCAUUCCACUGUCCAGAACUCAGUCUCACGGUUGCAUCUCACUACUGGGAAGACUGGGAAACAUAGUCCAGCAGUCACUGCCCCAGCCAUAAUUUUUAGUAAUAGAAACACAAACAUCACUCCAAUGCAGUUAUGAAUUUUUCUUUAUGUAUUAUGUAAUACUGUUUAUAUUUUUCUCAGUUUUUAGUAUGACACAGAUAUGAAACUAAAAGGCAAGGUGGUGUGGUGAAAUGAGCAGUGGUCUUGGAGACGUGGCUUCUAAUCCUCUGUGAUCUUGGACGUAUCACUCAGCCAAUCUGAACCCCAGUCCUUAUCUGCAGAAUGAUAGGGGUAAAGCCAGCUGGUAACUGUGUAGUCUCCUCUACUCCCAUCUUCCCAGCUCCAAAGGUUUACAGUUUUUUUCACAAAAGUAAUGCAAAAUAAAACAUGCAGUGACUCUCAGAGUAGACAAGUGAUAGGUUACAAGUCUUGGAUGAGUGAAGAUGAGAAGAUUUCUUGAAGAGAAGCAGCUUUAAGCCUGUUCUUGGAGGAGGGACGUCCAAGGAUGUUCAAUGAACUGAGAGGGGAAGAAUUGGUUCUUGGGAACUGCUGCAGGGAGCCUUGUUUGGAGAGAGUAUGGCCCUGGAGUGGACCCUCAGCACAUUGCAGUUUUUCUCUGGACCUAGUCUGGGAAGACAUGGUCUUAGCAAAGACACAAGUGGUUUGCGGCCAAAGAAAGUGCAAACAACUUGAUAAUGUGCCAUCACCGAUAUCCACCAGCACCCCGAGAAGAAACAAGCUACUCAGUGACGAUGUAAGAAUAGCCCAACAGCGACUGAGUCAAACCUGGGAAAACAGGAGAAGUUGUGGGUCCUGACUCCUCACAGUCUUGAGUAAUUCCAUCCUCUCCAGGGCUUCCGGAAGUUGCUACUGUGUGUGUGUGUGUGUGUGUGUGUGUGUGUGUAUCUUUGAGGGGUAAAGAUCAAGAACUGAG
ensembl:lncRNA